AUGAGAGUUGCGGUGGUGGGCGGCGGGGUGAGCGGGCUGACGGCGGCACAGGAGCUCGCGGCGAGCGGUGGCGCACGUGUCACCGUGUACGAGAAGGAGGACUGGCUUGGAGGGGGUGCCAGGACCGUGGCCUUCGGUGACGGCCCCGGCCUCGUCCGCCUCGACCUUUGCCCCAUGGUCUUCAAGCAGGCAACAUGCCCCAACAUGAUGCAAUGGUUAGAGUUGCUUGGGGUUGAGAUUGAAAGAUCGGAGUUAUCUUUCUCAGUGAGCACAAAAUUGGAUAAUGGCAGACAAUGUGAAUGGAGCACUAGCAAUGGUAUCUCGAGCCUUUUUGCACAAAAGAGCAAUGCAUUGAGGCCUAGCUUUUGGUGCACUAUCCGUGAGAUACUCAAGUUCAAGAGUGAUGUGCUUAGGUACCUGGAGUAUCAUGAAAAUAGCCAUCAUCUUGGCCGAAAUGAAACUUUGGGGCAGUUUGUUCAGUCGCAUGAAUAUUCAAGCCUUUUCCAAGAAUCUUAUCUUAUUCCUAUAUGCACAUCCAUUUGGUCAUGUCCAUCACAAGGAGUUUUGGGGUUCUCUGCUUUCUCCGUGCUAUCAUUUUUCCGUAACCAUGACCUUUUUCAGUUGUUUGGGCGCCCCGAGUCCUUCGCUGUCAAGGGUCAUUUGCAGUCAUUUGUAGACAAGGUAAGAGUGGAAUUGGAAAGCAUGGGCUGUCGAAUUAAAACCAGUUGUGCUGUGAAAUCUGUUUUAUGUCAUGACACAGCUGGCUAUAGAGUCCAAGAAGGGGAUGGUUCAGAAGAAAUUUACGACAAGGUCGUACUGGCGAUUCAUCCACCAGCUGCUCUCAAAAUUCUAGGAACUGAAGCUACACACGAGGAAUUGAGAAUUCUUGGUGCUUUUCAGUAUGUCUACAGUGAUAUAUACCUCCACUGUGAUAAAAGUUUGAUGCCACAAAAUUUAUCAGCAUGGAGCGCCUGGAACUUUCUGGGGGAAACAAGUAGGGUUGUGUUUGUUACGUACUGGCUAAACCUGAUUCAGAACAUUGAAUGUGCUAAGCCUUUCCUCGUGACAAUCAACCCCCCUCGUGUUCCGGAUCAUGUACUACUUAAAUGGUGUGCGAGCCAUCUUGUUCCGUCUAUGGCUUCUGUGAAGGCAUCUAUCCAGCUUGAUCAGAUCCAGGGAACGAGAGGGAUAUGGUUCUCUGAUGCAUAUCAAGGUCAUGGUUUCCACGAACAAGGGCUCAAGGCUGGUAAAGCAGCAGCGCAGGGUGUGCUUGGAAAGGAAGUUGACCAUGUGGUGAACCCAAAGCAGAUGGUCCCAUCAUGGACUGAGGCUGGGGCACGCCUUCUGGUAGCAAGAUUUCUUAACCGAUCCAUAUCCAUCGGUAACUUGAUAUUGCUCGAAGAUGGAGGCAGCAUGCUGAGUUUCGGUGAUGCUAGUGGCAAACAACAUGUAAAAUCUGUCCUGCGAGUUCAUGACCCAAUGUUCUAUUGGAAGGUCGCAACAGAAUCAGACCUCGGCUUGGCAGAUGCCUACAUUAACGGCUGGUGCUCUUUUGUGGAUAAGAAAGAAGGCCUUCUGAAUCUUUUCCUGAUUUUUAUAGCUAACAGAGAUGCACCAAACAGCAGUAGCAGCGUUGUCAGCAAAAGGGGUUGGUGGACACCUAUGCUUCUAACCGCCGGGCUGGCAUCUGCUAAAUAUUUUUUGCGCCACACCUCUAGGAAGAACUCUGUAACACAAACUCGUCGAAAUAUCUCACAACACUAUGAUCUGAGUAAUGAUUUCUUCUCGCUUUUUCUGGACAAAACGAUGACAUAUUCUUGUGGAAUUUUCAAGAGGGAGGAUGAAAGCUUAGAAGCAUCCCAGAUACGUAAACUGAACCUUCUAAUUUACAAGGCUAAAGUUGAGAGGGAUCAUCAUGUCCUUGAGAUCGGCAGCGGCUGGGGCGGCUUAGCAAUACAAGUGGUCAAGCAAACUGGCUGCAAAUACACUGGAAUAACUUUGUCAGAGGAGCAGCUUAAAUAUGCUCAGGGAAAAGUGAAGGAAGCUGGCUUAGAGGAUCACAUAACUUUCCUGCUGUGUGACUAUCGUCAAAUACCAGCUCGCAAAUAUGACAGAAUCAUAAGCUGUGAGAUGAUCGAACAUGUUGGUCAUGAAUACUUGGACGCAUUUUUUACCUGCUGUGAGUCUCACUUGGCUCAAGAUGGCAUUUUUGUCCUACAGGCCAUCACAAUGCCGGACGAACUCUAUGAGGAAUACAUUAGAAGCCCAGGCUUUAUAAAAGAAUACAUCUUCCCUGGGGGUUCACUUCCUUCUUUAUCCCGGAUAACAUCUGUGUCCGCCUCUGCUAGGCUCUGCAUAGAGCACCUUGAAAAUAUUAAUGGUGACCAGUAUUACUUGACUCUGAGGAGCUGGAGGGACAACCUAAUGGCCAACAAAGAUGAAAUUUUGGCACUCGGCUUUGAUGACAAGUUCAUCCGUGUAUGGGAGUACUACUUCAUAUACUGUGCGGCGGGAUUCAGAACACGAAUACUUGGAGAUUACCAGGUUGUGUUUUCUCGUCCGGGCAACAAUAAGCUGGCCCUCGAUUGA
rnacentral:rRNA from 1 species